rnacentral:rRNA from 1 species
CUACGGGGUGCUGCAGUGGGGAAUAUUGCACAAUGGAGGAAACUCUGAUGCAGCAACGCCGCGUGGAGGAUGACACUUUUCGGAGCGUAAACUCCUUUUAUAUAGGAAGAUAAUGACGGUACUAUAUGAAUAAGCACCGGCUAACUCCGUGCCAGCAGCCGCGGUAAUACGGAGGGUGCAAGCGUUACUCGGAAUCACUGGGCGUAAAGAGCGUGUAGGCGGGUUAAUAAGUCAGAAGUGAAAUCCUAUGGCUCAACCAUAGAACUGCUUUUGAAACUGUUAACCUAGAGUGUGGGAGAGGUAGAUGGAAUUUCUGGUGUAGGGGUAAAAUCCGUAGAGAUCAGAAGGAAUACCGAUUGCGAAGGCGAUCUGCUGGAACAUAACUGACGCUGAGACGCGAAAGCGUGGGGAGCGAACAGGAUUAGAUACCCCUGUAGUC